rnacentral:rRNA from 1 species
GAAAGAUGAUUUACGGGGAUAGUGGCGCACGAGUGCGUCACGCGUGGGAAUGUGCCCUUCGAUGUGGGAUACCUGUUGGAAACGACAGGUAAUACCGGAUGAUGACGUCAGUCCAAAGAUUUAUCGACCAGAGGAUGAGCCCGCGUCGGAUUAGGUAGUUGGUGGGGUAAAGGCCUACCAAGACGACGAUCCGUAGCUGGUCUGAAAGGAUGAUCAGCCACACUGGGAGUGAGACACGGCCCAGACUCCUACGGGAGGCAGCAGUGGGGCAUAUUGGACAAUGGGCGAAAGCCUGAUCCAGCAAUGCCGCGUGAGUGAUGAAGGCCUUAGGGUUGUAAAGCUAUUUGACCCGGGAUGAUAAUGACAGUACCGGGAGAAUAAGCUCCGGAUAAAUCAGUG